UACGUAGGGUGCGAGCGUUAAUCGGAAUUACUGGGCGUAAAGCGUGCGCAGGCGGUGCACCAAGCUCGAUGUGAAAGCCCCGGGCUUAACCUGGGAAUUGCAUUGAGGACUGGUGUGCUCGAGUGCGGCAGAGGGGGGUGGAAUUCCACGUGUAGCAGUGAAAUGCGUAGAGAUGUGGAGGAACACCGAUGGCGAAGGCAGCCCCCUGGGCCGACACUGACGCUCAUGCACGAAAGCGUGGGGAGCAAACGGG
rnacentral:rRNA from 1 species